rnacentral:lncRNA from 1 species
CUCUCUGAUUGCAUCACGGAACCUAGGAUAAACUUGAGAUGAAAAUUAAAUGACCUGAGAUUGCUCCAAAAUUCGUACAGUAGAUUGGAUCUCGAUCCGGUCUUUAUUCGAAAUUCAUAGCAUCUGAUUAUAGUUAAUUCAUAUUGAGUCACCCAGAUAUGACCUCUGAUGAUCUCGAUCAUGAUUAUCUUAUUUGAAAGAUACAAAGAUUCUCUCUUCACUUUCUCUCUCUACUUUCUCUCUCAAAAAUUU